CUACGGGAGGCAGCAGUGGGGAAUAUUGGACAAUGGGGGAAACCCUGAUCCAGCGACGCCGCGUGAGUGAAGAAGUAUUUCGGUACGUAAAGCUCUAUCAGCAGGAAAGAAAAUGACGGUACCUGACUAAGAAGCCACGGCUAACUACGUGACAGCAGCCGCGGUAAUACGGAGGGGGCAAUCGUUAUCCGGAUUUACUGGGUGUACAGGGAGCGUGGACGGCCGCGCAAGUCUGGAGUUAAAUGCCGGGACCCACACCCGGAACUGCUCUGGAAACUGUGAAGCUGGAGUGCAGGAGAGGUAAGCGGAAUUCCUGGUGUAGCGGUGAAAUGCUGAGAUAUCAGGAGGAACACCGGCGGCGAAGGCGGCUUACUGGACUGUAACUGACGUUGAGGCUCGAAGGCGUGGGGAGCAAACAGGAUUAGAUACCCUAGUAGUC
rnacentral:rRNA from 1 species